CAGGAAGAAGGUAAAGAUGAGCAGAUAGAUGUGUAAGAGGUCUUCGUCCAUCUGACUUUGGACUUAAAAUGCAUGUUGGAGAGAAGAGAAGAGAGGUGUUAAUAACAUACCAUGACUCUACAUUAUUUUCCUUUCAUCUGUGUCCUGGUGUCCUGGGUCCAGGCAGAAAUUUCCACCGUGAACUACGUCCCUCAGGUACCGUCCGGGGAGCUCGCUGGCCGUCUCACCAGCACAACCCUGCUGCUAAAUGAGCCCCACUGUUGCUUCGGUCACCAGCUGCCACCAUCGUGCGCUGUGAGCAUGUGUGAAAUAUGGCUCGUCGUUGCCUCUGCUCCAGGUGCGGUCACCUUCGACAUAGAGAAGUCGCAUCCAGAUGUCCUCAGUUCAUCCCCAUACCCGAGCGCCUUCACCGGGGAGAAACCCAAGGGCUUUUACAUCACCAGGCUGGGCCCCCUGUGGGACUACCCUUGCAGCCCCCUGUUCAGGGGGAGGUACUUCCGGGUUGGGGAUGACGGUAACUGCACUCUGGUCAACUGCAACGGGAUUCUACCACCCGGUUCCACCGUCAGGGUGAAAUAUAUCCUCACCGAUCCGAAGACAGCAGGAUUGGUCUUGGAGUCCAAGUGGUCAAACCCCAUCGCUCUCAUAACACCCGUGCCCAACAGCAUCAUCGAUGACGGGCUCAAGGAGCACUCGGCGGAGAUGGUUGUCAUCACCGUCGUGACCUCAUGGUUGAUGGCAGCCCUGCUGCUGCUGCUGGUUGGCCUGCUGAUUGUGGACCGUUCUGGAGUCAUCAGGAGAAAGAACAUCCCUGUGAUGCUGAAGACAUACAAAAACUUUUUUGGGCAAGCCAUCAGUGAAAAUCAUUUGUAAGAGGAAAAAACGUGUAACUAUGAAAAAUCUUUUAUGGGAUUUUAAGGUGAACUUCAUUAAUUCCCAGCAUGUCUUGCAAAACAAUAUUUUUUUUUUUUUUCUGUUUGCUGCUGCUUGUCUUUUUCAUGCAAGCACCACCUGUUCUGGUGGAUUUUGACUAGAUUUUGAAUUUGAAGUUGGAAAAAAAAGUGGUUUGUAUAGCUGGUUUAACAUCUGCAGCUGUGAACCGUUUAGGGCGGUAAAAUUGUGUUAUACUUUACCGCAGUGCAAUAGGUUACGCGUAGACAAGUUGCGCAAUAAGGUUGAGGUUUGCAGGUUGCCAAACCAACCAGGUUGUUAAAACACCUGAAUAUGAUUCGACAUGCUCCAGUUGUUUUGUCGAAGACAAGAAUGUACCAAUAUGUUUUGAUUGUUUAAUAUGACUGUUGAAAUCCAAUCUCUUAAAAUCUCCCUUUCUAGUCCUGAGAUCUGCUUGUCUUUUGUUCUAUCUAAAACUUUUUGAACUCUUGCACUUCCUAGCAAACUUGCUAAACACCCUGUUGGACAUGGUUAAAAAAUGUGACUGAAAAAUGAAUUAAAUGAAAAAAUCCCCGC
rnacentral:lncRNA from 1 species